rnacentral:lncRNA from 1 species
CACACUCAAUGAAAUCGGCUGUAAUCAAAUCAACCGUGUGUUCGAUUUGCACUUUUUCGUAGUGAUCGUUGUGUGUAAGAAAGAGGUUUUCAGUUUUUGCAAAAGAAAACCGAGAGACAAAAUUGUGUUCCUCUAAUAUUAAAAGGAAAGAAGAAAAAAAUACCACAAGGGACAUUAAUACACAAAUAAACGGGAAAAAAGAGGUGACACGACCUUCCAGAAAAAUAAUAGAUAAUAAUUGGGGAUUAUCAGG